rnacentral:miRNA from 2 species
CUAAGUACUAGCGCCGCAGGAG